CCUACGGGCGGCUGCAGUAGGGAAUCUUCCACAAUGGGCGAAAGCCUGAUGGAGCAACGCCGCGUGGGUGAAGAAGGUCUUCGGAUCGUAAAACCCUGUUGUUAGAGAAGAAAGUGCGUGAGAGUAACUGUUCACGUUUCGACGGUAUCUAACCAGAAAGCCACGGCUAACUACGUGCCAGCAGCCGCGGUAAUACGUAGGUGGCAAGCGGUAUCCGGAUUUAUUGGGCGUAAAGGGAACGCAGGCGGUCUUUUAAGGCUGAUGUGAAAGCCAUCGGCUUAACCGGAGUAGUGCAUUGGAAACUGGGAGACGUGAGUGCAGAAGAGGAGAGUGGAACUCCAUGUGUAGCGGUGAAAUGCGUAGAGAUAUGGAAGAACACCAGUGGCGAAGGCGGCUCUCUGGUCUGUAACUGACGCUGAGGUUCGAAAGCGUGGGUAGCAAACAGGAUUAGAUACCCGAGUAGUC
rnacentral:rRNA from 1 species